GACAUUCAUGUAUACUUUUGUUUGACUUGUGGACAAACACAGACUGAUGUCAAAAUAAUAAUAAAAAUUCUCUCUUAUAAGCCAGAACUCAGUGUUUUCUGUGAGUUUGAUACAUAUAUUAAGGGAUAUU